rnacentral:lncRNA from 1 species
AGAGGGAUUUAUAUUUAUAUUAGGAAUGCAAAGCUUUGGUCAGCACCAAUCUGUAAUAAGGUAUUUACUAAGAAUUUGGAAUAUUUCUCUAGUUUCAUUGGGUUGGAAGAUUUUUUCAAGAAUAAUUUUAUGAAGUUCAUAAGGCAAAAUUUCACAUAUUGUGUACCAAAGGUUUACUCUUGAUUGUUGGAUAGAAGGCU